rnacentral:rRNA from 1 species
AACAGGAUUAGAUACCCUGGUAGUCCACGCCGUAAACGAUGUCGACUUGGAGGUUGUGCCCUUGAGGCGUGGCUUCCGGAGCUAACGCGUUAAGUCGACCGCCUGGGGAGUACGGCCGCAAGGUUAAAACUCAAAUGAAUUGACGGGGGCCCGCACAAGCGGUGGAGCAUGUGGUUUAAUUCGAUGCAACGCGAAGAACCUUACCUACUCUUGACAUCCAGAGAACUUAGCAGAGAUGCUUUGGUGCCUUCGGGAACUCUGAGACAGGUGCUGCAUGGCUGUCGUCAGCUCGUGUUGUGAAAUGUUGGGUUAAGUCCCGCAACGAGCGCAGCCCUUAUCCUUUGUUGCCAGCGGUUAGGCCGGGAACUCAAAGGAGACUGCCAGUGAUAAACUGGAGGAAGGUGGGGAUGACGUCAAGUCAUCAUGGCCCUUACGAGUAGGGCUACACACGUGCUACAAUGGCGCAUACAAAGAGAAGCGACCUCGCGAGAGCAAGCGGACCUCAUAAAGUGCGUCGUAGUCCGGAUUGGAGUCUGCGACUCGACUCCAUGAAGUCGGAAUCGCUAGUAAUCGUAGAUCAGAAUGCUACGGUGAAUACGUUCCCGGGCCUUGUACACACCGCCCGUCACACCAUGGGAGUGGGUUGCAAAAGAAGUAGGUAGCUUAACCUUCGGGAGGGCGCUUACCACUUUGUGAUACAUGACUGGGGUGAAGUCGUAACAAGGUAACC